rnacentral:rRNA from 1 species
GACGUAGGGCGCGAGCGUUGUCCGGAUUUAUUGGGCGUAAAGAGCUCGUAGGCGGCUUGUCGCGUCGUCCGUGAAAACCCAUGGCUUAACUGUGGGCUUGCGGUCGAUACGGGCAGGCUAGAGUUCGGUAGGGGAGACUGGAAUUCCUGGUGUAGCGGUGAAAUGCGCAGAUAUCGGAAGGAACACCCGUAGCGAAGGCGGCUUCCUGGAUUCAGACUGACGCUGAGGCGCGAAAGCGUGGGUAGCGAACAGG